rnacentral:rRNA from 1 species
AUUGAACGCUGGCGGCAGGCCUAACACAUGCAAGUCGAACGGUAACAGGAAGAAGCUUGCUUCUUUGCUGACGAGUGGCGGAAGGGAGAGUAAUGUCUGGGAAACUGCCUGAUGGAGGGGGUUAACUACUGGAAACGGUAGCUAAUACCGCAUAACGUCGCAAGAACAAAGAGGGGGACCUUCGGGCCUCUUGCCAUCGGCUGUGCCCAGAUGGGAUUAGCCAGUAGGUGGGGUAACGGCUCACCUAGGCAACGAUCCCUAGCUGGUCUGAGAGGAUGACCGGCCACACUGGAACUGAGACACGGUCCAGACUCCUACGGGAGGCAGCAGUGGGGAAUAUUGCGCAAUGGGCGAAAGCCUGAUGCAGCCAUGCCGCGUGUAUGAAGAAGGCCUUCGGGUUGUAAAGUACUUUCAGCGGGGAGGAAGGAAGUAAAGUUUAUGCCUUUGCUCAUUGACGUUACCCGCAGAAGAAGCAACGGCUAACUCCGUG